rnacentral:tRNA from 1 species
GCCUCGAUGGUGAAAUUGGUAGACACAGCGGACUUAAACUCCGCCGCUGCCCGAAAGGGGGCGUACCGGUUCGACCCCGGUUCGAGGCACCA